AACCUGGGCUGGAGCAGCCGCUGGGUUUGGGCUCAAUUCAACAGGGACCUUCUGCGGGGAAGGUGCUUAGAGAACGUGCGAUCCGCCUGUCCUGCUGAGCCUAAUGUGCACUUCGUGUUACGGUGUCUGAGCCAAUAUCAGAAAGUUCCGGCCCUGCCUGUGCCUGGUCUCACCUUGAAGAAGGUCAUGGUAGCUCCGUCCUUCACCGCACCGUACUCUAUUUUUGUCUGCUUGGCCAAGUCAUCUGCCGAGUCGAUGGGGGAUUCCAUCCUCUCCACCGUCAGGAAGGCGGCGAGGUUGGCCGUGUAGGACGAGAUGAUGAUGAGGGUGAAGAACCACCAUAUGCCGCCGAUGAUCCGUGUGGACAGGGCUUUGGGCAUCAGCUCGGAGCCUGGGGUGGGACAGGAAACAGAGAGAAGAGACCUGUACAUUUUAUACGCUAUACACAUCUAUAUAGAAUCACAGAAUGUUAGGGAUUGGAAGGGACCUCGAGAGAUCAUCCAGUCCAAUAGAUACAUAAAGGAUUAGGUUCCACUGUCAAAACUGUAACAGCGACACAAUUAAAACCAGCUGGUUUUGAGGCAAAUGA